AUGCUAAAGUUUGAUCAUAAAAUGUGUGUACCUCCUCUUAUGUUUUUUGGGUUCUUUUUUUUUUUAACUGUGGGAGUUUCUAGAUCCUUUUAUUAUGUAAAGUGUAAUUGCACCCUGCCACUUUCUGUAUAUGGGAAUAUAUUUUUUAUUAUUUUUCUUUGCCCCUGGGUUUUAAACUGUUUGUAUUCCCAUAUCUGUUUGACUUCAGUUACUCUUGUGAAUCUGUCACCUUCUAGAACAUAUGCAGGUACUAAACCAGCUUUUCUUGCCCAGAAAAUUCCUUGGCCUUCAGUAGCUCAAAUUUCAUUUAGAGCAGGAACAUUUCAAAUUCUGUUGUGUAGCAAACAAAUCAGGUGUGCUGUUUCACACUGAUCUCCUGGUUGGUACAGCAAACCAACAUUGUCCUCCUUUUGUUUUUACAAACCUGUUGCACGGCUUCCCUGUAGAUCAGCACCUUGCCAAAAAGACAUAGCUUUAAAUUAAAAUGCCCCUCUUUCUAGCUGGCCUGUUUGCACAAGCCCUGUGGAGCUGAUGGCUGAUCAGGUUGGUAUAGACUGCCUUGUACAAGUUUUGGGACUCUGGUGUUCUGCUUGUACUGCUUUUCUCAGCUCACUGGUUAUAAUGAUGCUGGUUAAAGGCUCUGAAGCCAUGGUCAGCCAUUCACACAGCUGUCAGCACGUGGCUGCUGGGCUCUGUGGGCAUCUUUACCAGCACCUAAUUUCUAUUCUGUGUCUUCCUCCAGUGAUUUCACUGAUGACAAAUUGGCUUUGCAGGAUCUGACCCUAGGGAGAACAAAUCCAUCUUGUCCUUGACACAUGCAGUCUCUAUUACAUAAAUAGCCUGAACCCCCUCUGUUGACCAAGUGCUGCUGCUUCUCCUCCUGGGAGGGCAACUGAGGGUAGAACUUGCAUUUGUUUAGCCAUCAUGUGCUGCACAGAAUGCUAGCAGGUCUGCUACCAAGAGAGCUUUUUAAUUCGAAAUAGUAAAUACGCUCAUCUUUAGGAACUAAUCUACAGUAAUUAUAAAUAUGUACUUAUAUAUGGAAGAGAGCGUGUGUUGUUUUUUUUUUUCUUAAAGUUGUAACUAGAGAUGAUAUGAAGUGAAAGGCAUCCCUUAUAUAAGACUUCUGUUUAAUAUUAUUGUGUGGUUAAAUCCUUCCAUUAUAAAUUUGCACACUUUUUUCCUCUUCCCUUGCAUGUUCAACUCUGAUUUUUACAGCUGUUCUGUGCAGACAGUAAUGUAUUUUUGUAAAACAUUUUUGACACUGAAUUGCAAUAAAUGUUCAAACAAUGUGAACCA
rnacentral:lncRNA from 1 species